GCAUGAUGCAUUUUUCAAAUAUCAGACUAAACCAAAGCUUACAACACAUGGUGAUUUGUAUCAAGAAGGAAAAGAGUUUGAGGUCAAACUGAGGGAAAUGAAACCAGGAAUGCUGUCACAUGAACUUAAAGAAGCUCUUGGCAUGCCAGAUGGUGCUCCUCCUCCUUGGCUUAUUAAUACGCAGAGAUACGGUCCUCCGCCAUCUUACCCACAUCUGAAAAUACCAGGACUUAAUGCUCCUAUUCCUCCUGGAGCCAGCUUUGGUUAUCAUCCUGGAGGUUGGGGAAAACCUCCUGUU